GGCCUAACACAUGCAAGUCGAGGGGCAGCACAGAUUAGUUUACUAAUUGGGUGGCGACCGGCGCACGGGUGCGUAACGCGUAUGCAACCUACCCUGUACUGGGGGAUAGCCCGGAGAAAUUCGGAUUAAUACCCCAUAGUAUUGUGUAACCGCAUGGUUAUAUAAUUAAAGAUUACGGUACAGGAUGGGCAUGCGUCCUAUUAGCUAGAUGGUGAGGUAACGGCUCACCAUGGCUACGAUAGGUAGGGGGCCUGAGAGGGUGAUCCCCCACACUGGUACUGAGACACGGACCAGACUCCUACGGGAGGCAGCAGUGAGGAAUAUUGGUCAAUGGGCGCAAGCCUGAACCAGCCAUGCCGCGUGCAGGAAGAAGGUCCUAUGGAUUGUAAACUGCUUUUAUUUGGGAAUAAACCUCUGGUCGUGCACCGGAGCUGAAGGUACCAAAUGAAUAAGCACCGGCUAACUCCGUGCCAGCAGCCGCGGUAAUACGGAGGGUGCAAGCGUUAUCCGGAAUCAUUGGGUUUAAAGGGUCCGCAGGCGGACUUUAUAAGUCAGUGGUGAAAGCCUACAGCUUAACUGUAGAACUGCCAUUGAUACUGUAAGUCUUGAAUUCGGUCGAAGUGGGCGGAAUGUGUAGUGUAGCGGUGAAAUGCUUAGAUAUUACACCAGAACACCGAUAGCGAAGGCAGCUCACUAGGCCUGGAUUGACGCUCAGGGACGAAAGCGUGGGGAUCAAACAGGAUUAGAUACCCUGGNUAGUCCACGCCGUAAACU
rnacentral:rRNA from 1 species